rnacentral:tRNA from 1 species
GGGGUUGUGGCUCAGUGGCAGAGCACUUGCCUUGCAUGUGUGAGGCAGUGGGUUCGAUCCUCAGCACCA